CGUAAGGCGCCGAAUGAGUCAUUAAAAAUUAACAUCAUCCGAUCCCUAGUCGGCAUAGUUUAUGGUUAAGACUACGACGGUAUCUGAUCGUCUUCGAUCCCCUAACUUUCGUUCUUGAUUAAUGAAAACAUCCUUGGCAAAUGCUUUCGCAGUAGUUAGUCUUCAAUAAAUCCAAGAAUUUCACCUCUGACAAUUGAAUACUAAUGCCCCCAACUAUCCCUAUUAAUCAUUACGUCAAUCCCUAGAAACCAACUAAAAUAGGAUCGAACGUCCUAUUUCAUUAUUCCAUGCUAAUGUAUUCAAGCGUUAGCUUGCUUUAAACACUCUAAUUUUUUCAAAGUAACAGUCCAAAUUCCCGCAACACCAAAUUAAUGGCAUUACGGCUCAUCAGGAAGGAGGAAUCAGUGAGGCCAGUGCAUACCAGAGGCAUGACCAACCUACUAACCCCGAAAUUCAACUACGAGCUUUUUAACUGCAACAACUUUAAUAUACGCUAUUGGAGCUGGAAUUACCGCGGCUG
rnacentral:rRNA from 1 species